GCAUUGUAGGAGCUACAGUUCCAUGAUGCCUUGUCAUCCAAUGAGCAUCAUUGACAAGAUGCAAUCCCACAAUUUAAUUUUAUUUGCUAACUUGUGUUCCAUGUGUUCCACAGGUAUCACUGUAUCAGUGACAUCAUGAGCUUACCUCUAUCUCCUUAUCAAGUCGCAUACCAACAAUAUUUUCCCUUGUUUGAGCCAUCAUCUUGGAAUCCUUCACUCAA
rnacentral:lncRNA from 1 species